rnacentral:rRNA from 1 species
AAGACCUUGCGUUUUUGGAGCGGCCGAUGUCUGAUUAGCUAGUUGGUGGGGUAAUGGCCUACCAAGGCUUCGAUCAGUAGCUGGUCUGGGAGGACGGCCAGCCACACUGGGACUGAGACACGGCCCAGACUCCUACGGGAGGCAGCAGUGGGGAAUUUUGGACAAUGGGCGCAAGCCUGAUCCAGCCAUGCCGCGUGAGUGAAGAAGGCCUUCGGGUUGUAAAGCUCUUUCAGCCGAGAAGAAAAGAUUGCGACUAAUAAUCGCAAUUCAUGACGGUACCGGCAGAAGAAGCACCGGCUAACUACGUGCCAGCAGCCGCGGUAAUACGUAGGGUGCGAGCGUUAAUCGGAAUUACUGGGCGUAAAGGGUGCGCAGGCGGUUUUGUAAGUCAGAUGUGAAAUCCCCGGGCUUAACCUGGGAACU